rnacentral:lncRNA from 1 species
AUGCGGCAGUGGGGGGUUACCGAUGCGGCCUCAGGUCCCCAACAAGGCUCGUCGAGUCCUACCCGACGCGGGGGGACCGGGAGCAGCCUCGGCACCCGCGAGCGUCCGGAGCCCGAGCGCGGCCUGGGCGCGGGGCGGAGGGUGCUGAAGGGGGGAGUAGCCUCGGAGCCCAUCUGUCGGCCCGCGCCCGGCGUCCCGGUCACCAGCUGCCGGCGCCCUCGUUGCGGCCAGAUGAGCCGGCUCAGCGAUGGCACCGCAGUCCGGCCCGCAGCCGAGCGAGCUCGGGCGCUGACCCCCGCCACCGACGCCACCCCGGCCCCCGGGACCGACUGGGAGCAGCAAGGAACCAAAUGGAGAGAAAGAGGGAGGCGGGGAGCAACGAGCUUGCUUCACUGUAGAGAUAGGAAGACUGAGGCCAGGGAAAGGGGGCCCGGGCGCGUCCAAUCUCGGCCCCUGCCCAGGACCACAGCGCCAAGGAAGAGAGUGGCACAAAACUAUUUCCUUACUGAGGGUGGAAGAAGGCCGAGUCCCAGGAAGGGAAAAUGGAUCUUAAGGAUGGGUGGGAAAGAAGGGCUGAGCGCGGACAGGCGCCUGGUCAUUUUUAAGAAGUUUAUUUCGACAUUUAAAAAAAGAGAACCCGAGGGGCCUGGCUGCCCCGGGACGGAGGCUAGAGGUGGGAGCUGGGGGUCGGGGUGGGUGGGCAAGCCCCCCUUGCCCCUUCCCGCCCCGCCUGGGACAGGGGAGGGCACAGGCCACAGACUCACUGAUUCACGGACACGGUCACGGGCUCAUGGGUCACGAAUAAAUAACUUCAUAUACACUUUGCACACGGUAUGCACAGUUCUGCUGUUGCCCGGGCGCUCGGAGAGGGGGCUCCACACUCCCCUCCGCCUGUCAGGGUGCGGGGAGAGGGCUGGGUGUACAACUGGAGCAUGGUGGGGGGUGCAGCAUAGGGGUCGCCCCCACCUGUUCCCGGGGAGGGGCAAGGGGGGCGCCUGGGGGAGCCGGCGUGGUGGAGGGAGUAUAUGUACAUCCGGCGGUGGAAGUGGCUCCCUGAUGGAGUGA